rnacentral:lncRNA from 1 species
UUGAGUACAGUACACCUUGUACAAAAUGUCCUAGUCUGUCUUGGGAUCACCAAAAUAUUUUGUGUAGAUUUGACCAGCAAGCAAACACCCAGAAUCUCAAAUAAUUACACAUUCUAUUCAUCAUGACGAACAAAAGCAACUUGGAUUUCAUUCUUUCCCCCACCCCCUAUCUCUCUCUCUUCCUUCCUUCCUUCCUUCCUACACUGAGAACUGUGCCAUUGGCAUUUUCGGUGAGAUUGUCUCAUAAUAGCACUUUACCAUUAUAGCCUUUACAAAAGCCUGUGAACUAGCACAUGAAGUUCAUGCCAGCCGCACAUUUAAAAGGGUGGUUUUGAGAUCUCAAGUUUAGAAACCCCUGAGAAAAACUUACUAGAACCCUUGAGAUGUUCUCUAAUAUCUUAAUCUCAAUUUCCUUAGUGAUUAAACUGACAAUAAUAUUAAAUAACCAAAAUAUUAUAAACAUAUAUAUCAACAUUGAUAUGUAAAAGCAACAUUGAAACUAUUGUUGAUGUUACUUUAUUACUAACUGUAAUUGAUUUAAAAAAACAACCCCAGCUUCUGAGUCAUCUCCCUAAAGAAUAAAAGUUAUCUAAUUUUAUUUUUCCUAAAGUAUUUAUUUCAGCCAAAAAAGUUUUCUAAGUCCUCAAUGUUUACAGGUAGUUGUUUAAAAAUGUUUUCUAACAAAACACCGAGAGUCAGAAUUGUCACUAAAUCAUUUAAUAAGUUUGAACAUUUUAGCACAGGUGAAGAAGAAAUGUAAUUGGUUUAGCUUACGGUGCUAAGGAUGCAGAAGGAAUUCUGGCACCUUACCUUCUCCCUUAUAUCUGGAGUGCACAUGUGUACUCGUGUGUGUGUGUGUGUGUGUGUGUGUGUGUGUGUGUGUGUGUGUGUGUGUGUAUGGUACAGUGUAAAAAUAAACAGAGAGUAUCCCCAAAUUGCCAUCUAGAUGAUGAGGUUACACUGAAACCUUGCUUCCUGACAACACUACUAGGGAUUUCUCCAGAUAGACUCCAAGUGAUAGUCCUCGGAAUUCAACUUCAACAGCACUGUAAAAAGCUGGGCUAAGAGUGUUCUUCAUGGAUGAUUCACACUCACAUAAUGUGUAGGGCUUGGGGCUGGCUAGAUAAGUGACGUUAAUUGUCCUUUUUGCUAGUACCAGAAUAGUGCCUUCUGCAGGAAAUGCCUUCUGUACAUUUUCUACUUUAUAUAUCAAGGAAAAGGGCUGAAAUUCAUGCAGUCAAUAAUACUAGCAAAGAUAGUCUUAGCCAGAGAUGUGAAAAUAAGGCUUCUGUUUAGCUAAGACUUUGUUUUCCUGGUGUACCUAUCUUUAAAGAAUUUAAGACAGCUUUGUGGCUUUUAAGAGGCCUGCUUCUACUCUUGUAUUCCUGGUGUAGGUGUUGGCUUUUGUAGUAUUCAUGAUUGUUUAUAUCCACACAGUGUGGGCUUACUGGUUUCAGAUAUAUUCUGUUGUGUAAGCAUAAUUGAUUUUACACCUAUUGGACGGAGCUCUGCACCUGUCUCUUUAGCACUGCCACCAUAUCUGGUCUCUAAGCAGCCGUUCUGACCACUGACAGACCAUAGAGCUUACCUAGACUCCAGUUUGAUGCCACAGCCAGGCAGCCUGCAGUGCGUGGAUGUCUGUUGUUACACUCUGGUGGUGUCAUAGAUAGUGCGGUGGAGCAGGAGGUAAUGAAUAUCUGAGAUCCCUACCUCCAGUUCCAAACAGCUCAUGAGUGUGUUAAGAUGAAUAAGGACCAAGGAAUAUUCGUGACUCAUGAAGAGGGUGGCCAUGACUUGGAACUGGCAUGGUAGGGCCUGGCCUGCUGUAUUUCCUGCAGGUACACAGCGUCAAGGUGAGCAGUACAUCACCAACCCUGAUGGCAAAAGGCUUCGUGCUGCUUGCAGGGUGGGCUCCUGUACCCACGCUGCAUCAUGUCCACUGGCAGUGCCAAGCUGCCCCAUUGCCUUAUUUUGUUAUUGUCAUAUUUAAUAGCAGUUGUGCACAGAGGCCUAAAACCAUCCAGAACGUGUGCGUCUACAGAACCUUACAAGUAUCCUGUUGCAAGUACUUGUGCAAAUGUAAGGAAUGUGUUGUUUAGUAGCUAAUUUUGAUGUUUUUAAUGACAAUUGGUGUUCCUUUUUACAUGCAAAGUUGGACUCGGUUUUUUUUUUAGAAUUUGUAAAUAAAAACUUGCUGCUUUAACUGUUGUAAUAUAUGCUUUAUGAUGUAACCAUGUGUUUUUAAAUAAACCUUAUUAUGACUUACGAUGAUUUAGUACGCAUAUAUAUCAUACAAAACAAAGACACAUUUCAUACUU